GUGGGGAAUCUUAGACAAUGGGGGAAACCCUGAUCUAGCCAUGCCGCGUGAUCGAUGAAGGCCUUAGGGUUGUAAAGAUCUUUCAGCUGGGAAGAUAAUGACGGUACCAGCAGAAGAAGCCCCGGCUAACUCCGUGCCAGCAGCCGCGGUAAUACGGAGGGGGCUAGCGUUGUUCGGAAUUACUGGGCGUAAAGCGCACGUAGGCGGAUUGGAAAGUUGGGGGUGAAAUCCCGGGGCUCAACCCCGGAACUGCCUUCAAAACUCCCAGUCUUGAGGUCGAGAGAGGUGAGUGGAAUUCCGAGUGUAGAGGUGAAAUUCGUAGAUAUUCGGAGGAACACCAGUGGCGAAGGCGGCUCACUGGCUCGAUACUGACGCUGAGGUGCGAAAGCGUGGGGAGCAAACAGGAUUAGAUACCCGAGUAGUCC
rnacentral:rRNA from 1 species